rnacentral:rRNA from 1 species
GACGAACGCUGGCGGCGUGCUUAACACAUGCAAGUCGAACGGAAAGGCCCUGCUUUUGUGGGGUGCUCGAGUGGCGAACGGGUGAGUAACAUGUGAGUAACCUGCCCUUGAAUUUGGGAUAACUUCAGGAAACUGGGGCUAAUCCCGGAUAGGAGCUCCUGCUGCAUGGUGGGGGUUGGAAAGUUUCGGCGGUUGGGGAUGGACUCGCGGCUUAUCAGCUUGUUGGUUAGGUAGUGGCUUACCAAGGCGUUGACGGGUAGCCGGCCUGAGAGGGUGACCGGCCACAUUGGGACUGAGAUACGGCCCAGACUCCUACGUGAGGCAGCAGUGGAGAAUUUUGCACAAUGGACGGAAGCCUGAUGCAGCAACGCCGCGUGCGGGAUGACAGCCUUCGGGUUGUAUACCGCUUUCGCCUGUGACGAUGCGUGAGUGACGGUAAUGGGUAAAGAAGCACCGGCUAACUACGUG